UACGUAGGUGGCAAGCGUUGUCCGGAUUUACUGGGCGUAAAAGAGCGCGCAGGCGGCUGGUCAAGUCCGAUGUGAAAGCUCCCGGCUUAACUGGGAAAUUGCAUCGGAAACUGAUCGGCUUGAAGGUGGGAGAGGGUAGUGGAAUUCCCGGUGUAGAGGUGAAAUUCGUAGAUAUCGGGAGGAACACCAGUGGCGAAGGCGGCGAUCUGGGAAGAUACUGACGCUGAGGUGCGAA
rnacentral:rRNA from 1 species